rnacentral:tRNA from 1 species
GGGCUGGUAGAUCAACGGAAGAUCGCUUCCUUGGCAUGGAAGAGGUUACGGGUUCGAAUCCCGCCCAGUCCA